UCGUCCCAACUUCCUCUCCAAUUCCUCCCCAUUUCCUCUCCAACUCCUCUCCCAUUCCUCUCUCCUUCGAAAUGGCGAGUCAUCGGGCACACAUGACGAGGAGGAUGUUACGAGGAGGAGCGAGGAAUUCUACGAGGCGAUGAACGAGCCUUAGUUUUUUUUUCGGUUUAUGUAUUAUAAAAUCCAAAACUUAUUUAUAUAUAAAAUAUUUUGUUGCAU